UUUACAGACCUGUCUACCCUUUGGCUGAAGGGUGAACUUUGGGAUCAACCUGCAUGUUGACCUCAACAAUGUGCCCCAUGUUUCUGAACACAAUCAGCUGAAAAAAUUCCAUGAAUAAUCAGGGUCUAUCCCAUAAACAAGGGAUUGUCCGAGUCUGACCUGUUCUGAUUGUCUAUACCGCCAGCAGGAUGGCAUUCGUCCACCUUACUGAUGACCGAGAACGUGAAUGGGAGGACAUCCUGAGGUGUUUUGCAUGAGAGUGCCGAUUUUGCAUGACGACCUGGUCUUUGGAGCCUAAACAUGUCGGUAAGUGAGGAGUGAAUGUAAUCUCAACAUUUGUAUUGGCUUGAGUUUCUCAGCAUCCUGCACAGAAGCCAGUUCAGCUAUAUUCACUGUCACCAAAUCUCCAAUCCCUUCCACCUCAACCGAACACUUCAAUCCUACUGGACCAACAUCUCCUCCUCCUGACCUGCCUGGACCGUUGCCAUUUCACUACCUAACAGUGACUCUUGCGAAGAAUGGAGAGAUUCCUUUCUCCACGAAGUGGAAAUCAUCCCUUCUGGAUCUGGUUCUGGACCUGAUAACUGGCCCAGAUCCCACUAUUUCAACUCAUAGAUGCCCAAGCCUAUUGAAGGGCUCGUAGCUCCACCUCCAAGUAUUUCACAACUGGUAUUCCUGGAAACCUUCUUAACUGAAGCCCGAUCAGCUUUAGAUACUGUGCGGAGUCUUUGUCUAGACAAACCAGAACGUAUACCUGAUUUGCUUGCAGGAAUAGCUUAAGAGGUGUAAAGGACCACAGGCAAAUAGCUGAUGGGCUCUUGAAACCUCAAUAGCCGGUCUAACCUCCCAGCAAGGUAGACCUAAAUAUAUUCAUACAGCUCUUUGCUGCCAGGCUUGUACCCAUCUAGGCAAAAUGAGGACUCACCCUUUUGGUAGUCUCUACAAUUGUGAGCUCAGAAUAUAUAUUCAAUUACUAAUAGCAUACACGUGGCUGCACGUACCAGCUUCUUUUGCUAAUGUACAAACCCCUAGCAUUUUAAUCUCCCUCUUCCUUGACCACUGAAAUGCUAGAUCCACUUUUGCCCUAUAAGGGUAAUGUACUUUUAUUAGCAUAGAUCGAGUAAGGCUUAAUGGUAUCAGAUCCAUUCCACAUCACCACCGGAUGUCUAAACAUAUGUUAGAAGAUACCUUUGCUCCUUUGUGUUCUGAUUACUGGGAUCACCAUUUUACAUAUUCACGGAUGGGAAAAACCCAGAAGUCAGCCACAUAUGGCGAUCCCUAUGCUGACUUUUGGGAUGUGGACCGUAGAUCUAAAUGUGUUAAGCAAGAAGAUAAUUUUUGUUCUCUGUUUUCCUCCCUGGAUGAUUCUUACCAGGCCGUGAAGCAAUAUUUUACUUUCCAGAGGAUAUGCCCUUAAUAAUUAUCAUGAUCUUGUUGGCUCGGAGCGUCUAUGUAAAGAACGGAUUGCCAUCACUUUGAUCCAUACAAUCUCUGAUCAUGUGACUGGCACAUAGCUGCUUUGACAAAGGGCUCAUAUCACACGGCCCAUUGGCAAUGGACCCAUGUAUGGAGUGAAGAUUACAUGGACUACUGCGAAUCUUCUGACUCUCACAAUAACCUUAUUUUCUCCAGUCCCACGGAACUUUUGCUAGACCUACUGAGAAACUGUUCUGUGAACAUUCCCAAUGUAAGUGACUUAUCUCACCGUUACCUUAUAAAAACUAUGUGAGAUGCGGUGUCCCUUGGCAAUAUGAUGUUUCUACUGAUGAAAUAUGACUCAUUUGGUCACAGAAUGGCCUAAUCUCUGUCACUGUGGUAAUCUCACAUGUUGUUAUUGUUAGGUGCCCCCGAGUCAGUUCCAACUCAUAGCGAUCCUAUGCACAACAGCAAAGCACUGCCCAGUCCUGUGCCAUCCUCACAAUCGUAGCUGUGUUACCGUACAUAACACCAUAUUAGCUACUGCAGAGAAAACAUUCUUUAAUCCUAACCAUUUUGGAGGGCACACAAGGACUUCCUUGGAUUUGCAGAACUCAACUAGAGACACAGACUUUUUACUAUGAUACUUACUGACCGAAAUUAUAUUAACUAUCAACAAAAUCUGAAUUUGGACCCCCCCAACUGAAAAUUGGAGACCCUGGUGGU